rnacentral:rRNA from 1 species
AUGAUGGAUGAGAGGAGGACUAUCUUGAUGGGCCGUUAUGAAAUCGGGAAGCAAUUGGGACAAGGAACUUUUGCGAAGGUCUAUUAUGCCCGAAGUCUUGCAACUGGCCAAGCUGUUGCUAUAAAGAUGAUCAACAAAGAUAAGGUUACGAAGGUUGGACUUAUGGAGCAGAUAAAGAGGGAGAUUUCAGUAAUGAGAUUGGUGAAGCACCCAAAUGUCCUGCAGCUUUUUGAGGUUAUGGCUACCAAGAGCAAGAUUUAUUUUGUAUUGGAGUAUGCUAAAGGUGGUGAGCUUUUCAACAAGAUAGUAAAGGAGGGGAAGCUUAAUGAGGAUGCCGCCAGGAGGUAUUUCCACCAAUUGAUCAGUGCUAUUGACUAUUGCCACAGCAGGGGCGUUUAUCACCGUGAUCUGAAGCCUGAAAAUCUACUCCUGGAUGAGAAUGAAAACCUAAAAGUCUCGGAUUUUGGUUUGAGUGCCCUGGCUGAUUGCGCAAGGCAGGAUGGUCUCCUCCACACCACAUGUGGAACUCCAGCUUAUGUUGCCCCUGAAGUGCUUAGCAGGAAAGGUUAUGAUGGUGCAAAAGCAGAUGUAUGGUCCAGUGGAGUAAUUCUGUUUGUGCUUGUGGCUGGUUACCUUCCCUUUCAUGAGGCAAAUCUCAUAGAGAUGUAUAGAAGGAUCUCCAAAGCGGACUUUAAAUGCCCUCGGUAUUUUUCCGCUGAGUUGAAGGAUCUAUUACAUAAAAUCCUUGAUCCAGAUCCCAGUACUAGGAUUCCAAUCUCUAGGAUAAAGAGAAGUGCUUGGUACAGAAGACCAGUUGAGGUAAAUGCAAAGAAAACUGAGCCUGAAGCAACGCACAACACCUUUUCAGCUGAAGCUGCGUCAUCAGGCUCAACAGGAUGCAGCACUUCUGAGGGAAAUCAAGGGUCGUUAAGCCUCCCGAACCUGAAUGCAUUUGACAUCAUCUCUCUGUCAACAGGGUUCAAUCUAUCUGGGUUUUUUGAGGAGGAGUAUGCUCGCAGGGAAGAACGAUUUACCACUAGGCAGCCUGUAACAAUAGUACUUGCAAAGUUGAAGGAACUGGCCAAACGCUUGAAGCUAAAAAUUAAGAAGAAAGAAAAUGGAGUCCUGAAGUUGGCUGCUCCAAAGGAAGGAAAGAAGGGGUUUCUUGAGCUUGAUGCCGAGAUUUUUGAGGUAGCCCCUUCUUUUCUCCUAGUUGAGUUGAAAAAGACUAAUGGAGACACUUUGGAGUAUCAAAAGCUGGUGAAAGAGGAAGUAAGGCCAGCACUCAAGGAUAUUGUAUGGGUAUGGCAAGGUGAUCAGCAGCAGCGGUCAGAGCCGAUUCUGCAAGGGGAGCAGCAUCACUCACCGUCGCCAACACAGCAGCCACAUGAUGAGUUGCAACCACCAUUGCAACAGCAAGAGGGACAGGAUCAGUUGCACCCACCUUUACAACCACAGGAGCAGCAGGACUUGCAGGAACAACCACCAUUGCCACCACAGAAUGGCUUCAAACACCAAGAUUGA